rnacentral:rRNA from 1 species
GGAAUUAUUGGGCGUAAAGAGCUCGUAGGCGGUUUGUCGCGUCUGCUGUGAAAUCCCGAGGCUCAACCUCGGGCCUGCAGUGGGUACGGGCAGACUAGAGUGCGGUAGGGGAGAUUGGAAUUCCUGGUGUAGCGGUGGAAUGCGCAGAUAUCAGGAGGAACACCGAUGGCGAAGGCAGAUCUCUGGGCCGUAACUGACGCUGAGGAGCGAAAGGGUGGGGAGCAAACAGGCUUAGAUACCCUGGUAGUCCACCCCGUAAACGUUGGGAACUAGUUGUGGGGUCCAUUCCACGGAUUCCGUGACGCAGCUAACGCAUUAAGUUCCCCGCCUGGGGAGUACGGCCGCAAGGCUAAAACUCAAAGGAAUUGACGGGGACCCGCACAAGCGGCGGAGCAUGCGGAUUAAUUCGAUGCAACGCGAAGAACCUUACCAAGGCUUGACAUAUACGAGAACGGGCCAGAAAUGGUCAACUCUUUGGACACUCGUAAACAGGUGGUGCAUGGUUGUCGUCAGCUCGUGUCGUGAGAUGUUGGGUUAAGUCCCGCAACGAGCGCAACCCUCGUUCUAUGUUGCCAGCACGUAAUGGUGGGAACUCAUGGGAUACUGCCGGGGUCAACUCGGAGGAAGGUGGGGAUGACGUCAAAUCAUCAUGCCCCUUAUGUCUUGGGCUUCACGCAUGCUACAAUGGCCGGUACAAAGGGCUGCAAUACCGUGAGGUGGAGCGAAUCCCAAAAAGCCGGUCCCAGUUCGGAUUGAGGUCUGCAACUCGACCUCAUGAAGUCGGAGUCGCUAGUAAUCGCAGAUCAGCAACGCUGCGGUGAAUACGUUCCCGGGUCUUGUACACACCGCCCGUCAAGUCAUGAAAGUCGGUAACACCUGAAGCCGGUGGCCUAACCCUUGUGGAGGGAGCCGUCGAAGGUGGGAUCGGUAAUUAGGACUAAGUCG